rnacentral:rRNA from 1 species
AGUAACACGUGAGUAACCUGCCCUUAACUUUGGGAUAAGCCUGGGAAACUGGGUCUAAUACCGGAUAUGACUGACCGUCGCAUGGUGGUUGGUGGAAAGCUUUUUGUGGUUUUGGAUGGACUCGCGGCCUAUCAGCUUGUUGGUGAGGUAAUGGCUUACCAAGGCGACGACGGGUAGCCGGCCUGAGAGGGUGACCGGCCACACUGGGACUGAGACACGGCCCAGACUCCUACGGGAGGCAGCAGUGGGGAAUAUUGCACAAUGGGCGCAAGCCUGAUGCAGCGACGCCGCGUGAGGGAUGACGGCCUUCGGGUUGUAAACCUCUUUCAGUAGGGAAGAAGCGAAAGUGACGGUACCUGCAGAAGAAGCGCCGG